UAAAAUAAAAGUACUUUAAUGGAAGUUUUUAAUUUAUUAAGUUAGUUUAUACUGUACCUUUUGUAUUAUGGGUUAACAAGUAAUAAAGUAAUAUCUUUUAUACCCGAAUAUUAAAUGAUAUGUACUUUAAUUGUUUAGAACUAAUAUUUUAUUGUUACAAUAAUAUAUAAAAAUUAAAAUACAGAGGCUACAUACCAACCGCAUUAAUAUAUAACUGGUUUUAUUAAAAUAUCAUAAAAUGAUGUAGCUACUAUUAGCUUUUGUUUAAUUGAAUAUAAAUUCAAUUAAAUUUAUCUAUUACUAUUAAAAUAUUAUAUAAAAAUUGUAGGCUUUAAAAUAGCUAUCAUAUAAUACUUUAUAGUUAUUAAAUAUAUUAGAAGUAUUUAAUUAAAAUGAUAAGCAUAUAAUAAAAUUUUAAGUAAUUUUAAUUAAUAUUUAUUAUGUUAACAUAAGUACUUAAUAAUAUUUAUUAAAGGAAUUCGGCAAAAAAUAUUUCCGACUGUUUUCAAAAACAUUUCUUUUAGUUUAAAUUAAAAGUAGGCCCUGCCCAAUGAUUUAUUUAAUGGCCGCGGUAUCCUAACCGUGCAAAGGUAGCAAAAUAAUUUGUUUAUUAAUUGUAAACUGGAAUGAAUGGGUUAACGAGAAAUAACCUGUCUCUAAUAUUUAAAUGAAAAUUAACGUAUAAGUGAAGAGGCUUAUAUUUUUAUGAAAGACAAGAAGACCCCAUAGAGUUUUACUUUAAAAAUAAAUUAAUUAUAAUAUAGUUUAGUUGGGGUGACUCGAGGAAUACUAAACACCUCAUUAAAUUUAAAAUUUAUAUAUUUAUUAAGACCCUUUUUAUAGAUCAACAAUAAAAAUUACCUUGGGGGUAACAGACUAAUAACUAUAUAGAGUUCUUAUCAAUAUAGUUGUUUGGCACCUCGAUGUUGGCUUAGGAUAACUUAUUAUAGCGCAACAGUUAAUAAAGUAGGUUUGUUCAACCUUUAAAAUCCUACAUGAGCUGAGUUCAGACCGGCGUGAGCCAGGUUAGUUUCUAUCUUCAAUUUUAUAUUUUUAGUACGAAAGGACCAAAAUAUACCUAUUAUAGGUUUUUAAUAAAAAUUAA
rnacentral:rRNA from 2 species